rnacentral:lncRNA from 1 species
UCCAAUAGAGGGCUGUUGAGGUACGCACCUUCUGCCCCUUACUUCAUUUGCUGUACCUAGGGACGUUUGUAGGGAACCCUUGUAUGGCCUUGUUAAAUCUAGCCAUUAAGAAAAGCGGCUGAUCAUGACAUCAACAGAGAGCUCCCAUACGGUCUUUUUAAAUCAAGCCAUCAAGAAAAACGGCUAGCUGCGCAUGGAAAA